CUUCAGUAUCCUCAAGUGAAAUCAAAGUUUAUUAAGUAGAAGCAAGAUUCAGCAAAACCCUCAAGUCCAUCUUUAGGGUCCUCAAGUGAAAUCCAAGUUUAUUAAAUAGAGAGCCAAGGAUAUUGCACACCUAGGCAGUUCAGUCAUGGUGUGGUCCCACCCACUAUGGACCCAAGGUUGUCUGGGCUUCAGUCUCAUCACAAAUCCCUAUGGAUACACUGAUUCCUACUUCACAAAUGAGCUGUGGACACCGUGACAAGAAGGUGAGCCCCUUUACAUAGAGAAAAACACACAAAGGUACAGCGGUGCAAGGUUAAUCAGGUCAAGGACUCAAGAUUUUAUCCAACUGUUCCUCAGUUCCAGGGCUACUUAUUAUUGACCCAUUUGGUUCUAACAAGUGAUACUUACCUUCACAAAUUGGCUUGGUCUCGCCAAUUUGUAUUUCUCGCCAAGAAUUUGAUAUCUUAUUGUGUAUUAUUAGAUUUUCUUUGCUCUUUUUUUUUAUUGUUUUCAACAAAAUUCUUACUUGUUGAGACACAAGCUGCCCAGUCUGCAGGACAAAGAGAGUGGAGAGGGUUUCCUGGUUUUUCACAGCCAGGGAGCAUCUGUGCAAAAGACCCACCCUCCUGAGCUGGCGCAAUCCACAGACCUACAGCACACACAACAAUCCAAUUUAAGGGAGUAGAGGAAAGUGCUGGCCCAUAAUUCAAGAAGAAUUGUUGAAAUGAAGGGUAAGAAACUGAACCCAGGUCAGUGGUGCAAUCUUUCUUGGGAGGCUAAGGCAGAACUGCCCUGAAUUCUUCAAGGGCAGGCAAGGAAACAAUAUUAAAACCCAAAACUCAAAACAAAUACUCCUCAAAAGUGUCUAGAGCCCUCAAAAAGCUAUACCAGUCGGAGCCAACAGGAGCCUAUGCAGAGGAUACAGAAUUCUGAAACACAGAAAGGGGCAGUAGGUAAAAUACUUCAGAUACGUAACAUGGGAAUUAAAGCACAUUUAUUAGUCAGCAGGGAAAUAAAAUUCAAACAGCUUUAUAGCCAGUAGGAUGACUGUAACCAAAGUUAUCUGCUGCCAAGGCUGUGGGGAUGUGGGUCACACUGCACACUCUCCCUACACAGCUGGUAGGAUUAAGGAACAGCCACCCUGGUUUGGUAGUUCCUCAGAUCAUUAGUUACCUUGACCAAAUUCCACUCCACCACAAAACUUUCAUGCUUCCAUAGUUACAGUCUGGAUAGUAUACUCCAAAUGUCCACCAGGAAGUGAGUAAAAUGCAUGGCAUCCUCAUACUCAAUACUACUUGCUUUUUAAAAAAAGUAAAGCUAUAUGCUGGAUAAGAAUAAAACUCAAAAACACAAUUCAGUACAAUAUUUAGAAACAAUUAGUAAUUGCAUAAAGGGUUGGAAGACAACGACAUGGGACUAAUUAGGACUCGGUGUGCUUUUUGUUUUGCUACACAAGUCUUGAUAUAUGGAAACCACUGAAAUGGGCAUUUUCUUAAAGAUAAAACUUUAUGGCAUAAAAACCAUGAAAUGAUGAAGUUAGAGGCACUUCCAGGUCAUUGUUUCCAUGCUUGCAAAUUCUGUUCUAGUAAAAAAGGUGAGCAGUUGGGAGGUUGCUAAGCUGGGAAAGCAGCUGCUUGGUGGAUACAUGGGCCUGAGUUCAGUCCCCAGCACCAAACACACACACACACACACACACACACACACACACACACACACACACACCAGCAAAAGAACAGAAGACUGCUGAGCAACUGUUUUAUAAACCUUUAUUGGAAAGGCUACAAAGUUUAUAUUAUCACUGCAUUGCUUAGGCUUAAAGUGUGUGGGGAAAUAACCUCAAAUACAAAACUGUUAUGCCGCUGAACCUUGCCCAGGCUUGUUGCAAAGUGUUUUUGUACAAUGGAGGUAGAGCGAAUAGGGCAGUAAUUUAACCCUCACAGGUCUUGAUUAGUUUGGGGACAUUCUUUUCACCCAGGUUCUAAUAUCUCUAGAAAUGUACCCAAGCACUAUUGGCUCAGAGAUGGUAUAAUAACACUGAAAAGAAAAAUCUGAAUUUCCAUUUUUGUCCUGUUGUUCCUUUGACAAAUGUAAAAUGUGUGUAGCUGGUGUUGCUUGGACCUCAAAUGAACAUGUUUUUUAAAAAAAAAAAACACUUCAGGGAGAAAAAAAGUAAUCACCAGAAGAUGGAAACCCAUCCUUUCA